CGAUAUAGCAUAUGAUUUGUCAUUUGAACGACAUAAAAACUCAAUGUUGACGAUUUCGAAUGGCAAUCAUCCAAAAAAUGGUGGAUUCAAGAUCGAAUGACUUCAUGUCUGUAUUGGAAUGAACAGUCUGUGAUAUUCGAAGGAUAGACAUAACGCCAUAUGAAUUAUUUGCACCCAAAAAAGUAAACGAUGGUGCUUAUUAUUAUCAUCUCAACUAACAGUAGUUGAUCAUUCGUGUUUCAUCUGUUUCCAGUGUUUGGGCUGGCUCGAAUGACAGUCAUUUGAAGCGCUUCAUGCGUUUGCGAGAUAAGUUUUUUCAUUAUUUCUGUGCAGUCGCAAAAAGUCAGUUCGCGAAAUCAAAACGUGAAAAAACUGCUGCUUGUCAUCUUCAAGACUAACGUACCCUAGAAAAAUUGCUUUGGAGCUGAUUUCCUGGUAUUGGGAGAGAAACUAGCGUCCGGAUCAAAGGAUUUAUUUGCAUAUUUUGGAGCAAUGUCACUGACAUGGUGUCUUUCAACAUACAGGGAAUAGCCGUUAUUUAGUGCAAAUAACUGGUCAAAGCCAUAGUAUGCAAGGCAAAGAGGGAGUACUGGAAAGGGAGUGAAAUAUACAAUAGGAUGGAUGCCAAAUAGCUGUCAAUUGAUGACUAUGUUGAUCGGAACUAUUAUUCUGGUGAAAUGGUGGCACUAACGAUUCAAUAUCGUACGGGAAUCACAGCCCUAGGAACCACGAGUCCCGAGAGAUUGUAGUUACAGGUAUUCCUAUCCCAAGGUUUGGAAAAUUUCCACGCGACCGGCACUAGGUGAUGGCCAAAUCUACUGGUUUCACAUAGCCGUCUUAGUCCCUGAAUCAGAUUCGAGAGCUAGACGGAUCGCAUGAUAUGCAACAUGAGAAGCCAAUGUUCGAUCUGCUUUGGUUCUAUCCCGAUGACCAUGGCGGCUGAACUACAUUGCCCCACAAUGCUGAUUACCUUUGGAAAUGUACAAUCAAUUAAACAAUCUGACGCAGAAAACACCAGCACCGCACAAACGUAAGAGAUUCUGUGAUGGACCAACGUUGCCGCAAGAGAACACUGGUAGCAAUAGGUUUGUUCCAGUACCAGGAGAAACUGGAAGUACUCCGGAGAAAACAGGGAGAAAAUCGUUCCUGUAUUAUCUUCUUUUCUUUUCCUUCUUUUGGUAGCAAAUCGGAGUGAAAAGGAGCAAGAAUGUUUUGUUCCGGAGCAACAGGGAGUGACUUCCGUGUACUGGAACAAACCUAAUCAUUGUUAGCAGAAAGGAAACCACUCUUUUGCGCUCAAGCAAGAAACCAAGUCACCCAGCAAUUUUUAAGUUUACCGUAAAACUUGAAGGCACUGAGCUAGAUCAGCAACCUCCCGGUGCGAUUGUUAAAAGUCGAUCAACGAUCCAGUAGAAUUACGCACUAGGCAAGAGAAUAUGUCCGGAAUUACAAAUUCUGACUCAUCAGAAAAAUAUCUUUAAAAAAGCACUAGCUCGGAAACGGUAUCAAUCGAAACUAUGAAAAGUUUCGACUGACUCCGACGCAAAUUCCGGAAACUUUUCUUCGUUGAUUGCGCGAAUAUUAUAUUCUGGUACUGCUGGGUAAAUUUCACAUUGAAGAAUAAUUCCGUUGCUAGCUGCCAUGAUUCAGCAUCGAGAGAUAGAACCUAUAGUCGAGAUCGAACCAAGAGAGCAAGGCAAACCGUUGUCACUAAACGCCCUAGCACUAAACUAAAACAAGUUAUAUUACACAUAAGACAUAACUUUCUCCGCUGAAGGAAGGCAACAAAUUUUUACCGUUAAAUUUGAAUACUGCGUAAUUGUCUCUCUUCGUUUACUUUCGUAGUCACCGAUGUUACGUAACAUGUUUUAACUGAAGAAUUUUUUUUGAAGACUCACGUACCGGGGGAGUAGCGAUAAAAAAAGUUGUGGUUCAGCCGGAAAUGAACUGGAUUUCUGGCUGGUUCCAGUUCGUAUUCUGGCUCCAGUAACACAACCGAUUCUAAUUAGCCACUGAAGUCGGAAUACGAACUGGAACCAGCCAGAAUUCCGGUUCAUUUCCGGCUGAGCUUAACUGGGUGCUAAAGCUGUAAGAUUGUCAUGAUGACAUUCACACAGAAAAAAAAUGUUGGUAAAAAUAAGAGUUUUUCACUCUUAGCAAAAAAGAACCAACGCAUACUCUUAGUUUGAAAAUAAAACUUUUAUUUUGAAUACUAUUCUUCAUUAGCUUAAAAGGAAAACUUUUAUUUUGAUUAUUAUUCUUGAUUAAUUUAAAAGUUUUACUUUCAACCUGAUAGUAGGCGUUAGUUGUUUUUUGCUAAGAGCGGAACACUCUUACUUUUACCAAUAUUUUUUUUCUGUGUGUUGGUAACGAAACUAUAUUAAGCAAAGUGUCAAAAGUUUGAAUUCAAUGUGAGGUUUUUUUUAUACAACGGUAGCAUGUUACAAGCAUUUGGAUUGUGUUUUGAUGUUUU